GACAGAGGCCUCAAGCGUUAGGCGGAAUCACUGGGCUUAAAGCGUGUGUAGGCGGAUCGUUAAGUACCUUGUGAAAUCCCACGGCUCACCCGUGGAACUGCUGGGUAUACUGGCGAUCUUGGGCCAACUAGGGGCAGCUGGAACAAGCGGUGGAGCGGUGAAAUGCGUAGAUAUCGCUUGGAACGCCGAAGGUGAAAACAGGCUGCUGGGGUUGUGCCGACGCUGAGACACGAAAGCGUGGGGAGCAAACAGG
rnacentral:rRNA from 1 species